rnacentral:rRNA from 8 species
UUGCGGUUAAAAAGCUCGUAGUUGAAUCUGUGUCCCACGCUGCCGGUUCGCCGCUCGCGGUGUUUAACUGGCAUGAUUGUGGGACGUCCUACCGGUGGGCUUAGCCUCUCGGGGCGGCCCAACUAAUAUCCCAUCGCGGUGCUCUUCACUGAGUGUCGAGGUGGGCCGGUACGUUUACUUUGAACAAAUUAGAGUGCUUAAAGCAGGCUAUUUUCGCUUGAAUACUGUGUGCAUGGAAUAAUGGAAUAGGACCUCGGUUCUAUUUUGUUGGUUUUCGGAACCCCGAGGUAAUGAUUAAUAGGGACAGAUGGGGGCAUUCGUAUUGCGACGUUAGAGGUGAAAUUCUUGGAUCGUCGCAAGACGGACAGAAGCGAAAGCAUUUGCCAAAAAUGUUUUCUUUAAUCAAGAACGAAAGUUAGAGGUUCGAAGGCGAUCAGAUACCGCCCUAGUUCUAACCAUAAACGAUGCCAGCUAGCGAUCCGCCGAAGUUCCUCCGAUGACUCGGCGGGCAGCUUCCGGGAAACCAAAGCUUUUGGGUUCCGGGGGAAGUAUGGUUGCAAAGCUGAAACUUAAAGGAAUUGACGGAAGGGCACCACCAGGAGUGGAGCCUGCGGCUUAAUUUGACUCAACACGGGAAACCUCACCAGGCCCGGACACCGGAAGGAUUGACAGAUUGAGAGCUCUUUCUUGAUUCGGUGGGUGGUGGUGCAUGGCCGUUCUUAGUUGGUGGAGCGAU